rnacentral:rRNA from 1 species
CAGUAGCCGCGGGAAUACGAAGGGGGCUAGCGUUGUUCGGAAUUACUGGGCGUAAAGCGCACGUAGGCGGCUUGGUAAGUUAGAGGUGAAAGCCCAGGGCUCAACCCUGGAAUUGCCUUUAAGACUGCCGAGCUAGUAGGUGAGAGAGGUGAGUGGAAUUCCGAGUGUAGAGGUGAAAUUCGUAGAUAUUCGGAAGAACACCAGUGGCGAAGGCGGCUCACUGGCUCAUUCUAGACGCUGAGGUGCGAAAGCGUGGGGAGCAAACAGGAUUAGAUACCCCCGUAGUCCCUGUCUCUUAUAA